UUCAGUUCUGGUUCACGUUUCAGCAUUCAAAUAAAUUCCGCUGUAUGUGUCCACUCUGCUUUCAGUACAGUCAAUCUGCUAUGGGGCACAUUAAUGCCCCUGGCUCUCAUCUUCCGUGAACGCCAACAUUUGUGGAGGCUACGGACCGAGCCUAGUGGGGAAGUUUCGAAGUCUCCUUCUCGGCUAAAACAAUAAUAAAAAAUUACAAUUUGUUGGACAGAUUUUUUGAUCGUAGAGAGCUUGGUGAAAUAUGUACAUCAUGACUAUAUAUAUAGAUAAUAUAAUUCAUAUUCCGACAGAUCUCAGUCGGUAAUCAUUCUACAAAAUUCAAAGUCCAAAAAACGUACAUUCGCAAUGUGUCGCUGUGAGUGUGAGGAUAAACAGUGUACUUCUUUUUUUGCAAUAUGGAACAUAUGCUGGGGGGUUGCUUAUAGCAUUUUGUCUUAUACCAUGGUUGCUGUGUAUGUGUAUUCGGAAUCGGAGAGCGACAAUGUUUUGCAAGUUAUUGCAUACGGUAACUGUGUAUUUGCGCCACUGUACAUUGUGUCUGGAAUAUUGAUUCUUGUUGGUGACUCUAAG